UUACGGCCAUAUCACGAUGAAACAUUGGUUCCCGUACGAUCACCGAAGUUAAGCAUGGCAGCUAGUCAGUACCUAGAGAGGUGACCGCUUGGCAAUACCAGCUGUUGUAA